GAUCUAGCUCUAGGUCGGGGACACCCUGGAAACGGUGGCUAAUACCGGAUGUGCCGAAAGGUGAAAGAUUUAUUGCCUAGAGAUGAGCUCGCGUCUGAUUAGCUAGUUGGUGUGGUAAGAGCGCACCAAGGCGACGAUCAGUAGCUGGUCUGAGAGGAUGAUCAGCCACACUGGGACUGAGACACGGCCCAGACUCCUACGGGAGGCAGCAGUGGGGAAUUUUCCGCAAUGGGCGAAAGCCUGACGGAGCAAUACCGCGUGAGGGAGGAAGGCUCUUGGGUUGUAAACCUCUUUUCUCAGGGAAUAAGAAAGUGAAGGUACCUGAGGAAUAAGCAUCGGCUAACUCCGUGCCAGCAGCCGCGGUAAUACGGAGGAUGCAAGCGUUAUCCGGAAUGAUUGGGCGUAAAGCGUCCGCAGGUGGCACUGUAAGUCUGCUGUUAAAGAGCAAGGCUCAACCUUGUAAAGGCAGUGGAAACUACAGAGCUAGAGUACGUUCGGGGCAGAGGGAAUUCCUGGUGUAGCGGUGAAAUGCGUAGAGAUCAGGAAGAACACCGGUGGCGAAAGCGCUCUGCUAGGCCGUAACUGACACUGAGGGACGAAAGCUAGGGGAGC
rnacentral:rRNA from 1 species